rnacentral:lncRNA from 1 species
UUUGGGUUGUCGUAUGCAAUCAUCCAACCCAAUAACUUGUGGAAAAACUGAGGGUUAAUUAGUGCAAUUCACGAUUAAUUUGGGGCGUUGAGUAUUCAUAGUUUAUCGAAAAGCAACUGGAAAUCGUUUUGUAUGCAAGUAUGACAUGUGUGGAGAAGAACCUCCUAGCUAGCCUUCCAUCCAUAAGUUUCAUUCAAAUUCAUUUUACAAUCUGUUUUGAUUCACUUAAAUUUGUCUAAGAAUUUGUUUACUUUGUACUUGUCUUAAUUUAAUUAUUUUCGUCCAAAAUCAAGCCCAUCUUAUUUCUUUGAGUCAUAUUAAUUAGAACUUGUCUUAGAUUAUGUUUUUAAGUGUUUUAGUUCAUUAGAAAACCAAAUUCGUCCAAGUUUGUGUUAGAGUCCCAAAACUGCCCAGAUUGUAUGUUUAAGGUAGUUUUGAGUGUUUAAGGGCUGUUUUGAGUCUUUUGGUUUGUUUUAGUGUUUUAAAGUAUAGUUUUGCAUUCUUUGAGUCUAGUUAGUGUUUUAAACUUUGUUUUUACGUUUUCAAGUCAGUUUCCAAGUGAUUUAGCAAUCCCUCCUAAUCCCCGGCCUAGAACGAUCCCUACUUACAUACUUUACUACAAUUGAUAAAAAGAGGGUUUAAUUUGUGUGCUUAUAUAUUUCGCAUCAUCUCUCUAAUCCGAAUUGUAAGCGUUGGAAAACAUGUUGUCCCCUGAUUGGCUAUGGCCUUGAUAACCCCAAGCAUCUUCAUUCGCAGCGAAUUGAGAACAUUGAUGAGUUGGAUAUCCUUGCCCAUAGGACACACCAUCUGUAGGGACACUUUGCAUUGUGGUCCUUUCGGCAUAUUGUGACAAUUGACAAGUAAGUUUUGCCAAUUGAGUUUGAAUGGUAGCAAAAUCCAUGUCUUACUUCUCUAGUACUUGAAAUCAAGGAAACAAAACUAAAUCAAAUAUCAUAAGUAAAAAUAAAAAACACAAAUAGAAACAAAGUCAGUAACUAAAACAAAAAACAUGAAAAAGAAACAACGGGGGAUUAGCAAAGUUGCUAAUCCCCGGCAAUGGCGCCAAAAAUUUGAUGCGAAAAUUAUCUUAACACACAAAUUAAACCCUCUUGUUGUCAAUUGUAGUAUAAAUGCAAGUAGGGAUCGUUCUAGGCCGGGGAUUAGGAGGGAUUGCUAAAACACUUGAAACUAACUUAAAAUGUAAAAUUAAGUUUAAAACACCAAACUAGACUCAAAGAACUUAAAACAAACUCAAAGGACUCAAAACAAGCUAAAAACACUCAAAUCUGCCUAAAAACACAAACUAGGUAGAUUUGGACUCUAACACACUUUUGGGACACCUAAAAACACAAAUCAAAACAGAUUUUGACUAAUAAAACACUUUAAAGUAAAGGGGGUUUUGGUUUUGACGAAUUUGAAAACAAAACAAGUAAAUUAAAGAACUAAUGAAAUCUGCACGAAUUUGAGUAAAUUGAAUGGAUGGAAGGCUAGCUAGGAGGUUCUUCUCCACACAUGACAUACUUGCACAUAAACCAAUUUUCAGUUGUUGUUUCGAUCAAUCAUGAAACUCAACACCCCAGGUUAAUUAAGUCCGCUUAAAUUAACCUUCAAGUUCUCCUUAAGUUAUUAAAUUGGAUGGGAAAGCGCAUACAACAAUUCAAGCAUUCUUCAAAAGUUCUUUACGUGAACAUCACAAUAAAGAUACAAUCAAAGAUCAUUAAGCAUUAUGAAAACUAUAAGUAUUGACGAGGCAUUCGUUACUAUGAUGAGCAUGAAACUCCUGCUAAGAAUUUAUUUAACGUGAUCGUUUAUAAACGACCUCCACUACUUGUGAAUAUAAGUUUGUAACUAUUAGGUGAAACUCCCUUAUACUCUAGCAUCAUAUUCAUGCAUGCAAACUAAGUGUGCACUCUUAAUAGACAUACACGAAUAAGUUAUCAAUCAAGCAGUUAAACAAAUUGAAUUCACCACUUAUGAAAUCACAACUGAAGGUAAUCAAAUCAUAUUGCAAGCAUGAACAUGGUUUCGAAUUCCCCCCUAGCUAAGGGGGGUUUAGUUCCUCAUACUCACAAAGCAAAGAUAAACAAAUUUAGAGAUUGAAAACAAAAGAAUGAAAACCCCUAAAAACGCUCCAACAAUCCAACUUGAAUGGCAAGCACGUCCAAGGGUCCUCCUUCUUCUCUUUGUUGCGGCACAAGGUGUGGCUUGAUGGAUGAGUGGUAAAUUAUGGUGGUGGAUGGGUAUAGGUGAGUUAUGGUGAAGGGUGGAUGGGUGGAUUGUGUUCUCUCAGCCAAGGAAUGAAAGUGUAAGUGUAUGGAGUUGUGAGAUGUGAAUGUAGUGUCUUUUGAUGGAUCUUUUCUC